rnacentral:lncRNA from 1 species
UCGUGAGGUAACUGGCGCUGGCCCACGCCGACUAAGGGAGACGCUCUAGGCACCGGGAUGGGGUCCCUGUCCCCGAGCUCUAGCGGGUCAGAACGCCUUCCUGGUCCGCGGCCGAGUUGAAAGUUGUUCCCACUCCCAUAAGUCCAAGGACCAGCGUCAGCUGUGUACCUGCCGAGCAGCCCUACUGAGGACUGUGCUCGGCCUCUGAAUAUCUAGACGGACACGAGCCAUACCCAGUGACGGCCCAAACCAGCGAACGCUGUCUGGCAACGUUUUUUGCAAUUUGUCUUAUUUAAAAACCAUAUACGGGCUUGGAGUGGUGGUGCCUGUGGUCCCACCUACUUGGAAGGCUGAGGUGGGAGGAUAACUCGAGCCCGAGAGGUCGACACCGCAGUAAGCGGUGCUCGCGCCACCGCACUCCAGCCUGGGCAACAGAGCGAGACCAUGUAUUAAAAAAAAAAAAAAAAUCCCCAGUCAUUUCUUCCGCUGUCAAACACCGUCUACAAGAUUCGAGUCAAACAACGUGAGAACUUGAAAUACGUCUCCAUUCUUUUUCCUUAGUACUCUCGUUCAUUCACUUACGACUUAGAAGCAACUUGAGGCAGUAUGGGAGCAUAAAAGACAGCCAGGAUGCCAAAGUCUCCGAGCAGUGAGUAGGAGUCUAAGAAGUUGGAAAGAUUCAUGGACCUCUUCCAGUAUGUGAAAGCCACAACUGUGGAGCAAAUGGGAAAGCAGCAAUGUGAGAACAGAUUAAUACACAGAGCAUCCAGAGAGAAAUACCCAGCAAUCAGUUGGAGCUGAAAGGCCCAAGAAGGAGAGGGAAUAGAAGGAUGACAUGCAUAUUUGGAUGAAAUUCACAUAUAGGAGGAAUCCAAAAAAGUGUCCGUAGAGAUAAAAAGGUUCUAGAGGUUGCCUGCAUUCCUUGACUCCUGAAUCUCUAUCACCUUCAGAGCCAGAUAUUUCCUGCUGAGUCUUUCUGAGGCUGCAUCACCCUGACCCUGACUCUUCCAUCUCCAUCCUUCAUGCUUAAAGGAUCCUGGUGAUUACAUUGGACCCUCCCGUACAAUCUAGGAUACAUUUUUAACCUUAAGGUCUUCAAGGGAUCACCACACUGUCUUCCACAAUGGUUGAAC